rnacentral:rRNA from 1 species
UCGGUGAAACGUUUUAACAGCUGCGGUAUUUUAACUGUACUAAGGUAGCAUAAUAAUUUGCCUUAUAAUUUGAGGCUAGAAUGAAUGGUUUGACGAAGGUUAAUCUGUCUCCACUUUAUUUUUUAGAAAUUAAUUUUCAUAGUGAAAAAGCUUGAAUUUUUUAAGGGGACGAGAAGACCCUACUGAGCUUAUAAUUUUAUUAAAACAUAUAUUCAUAUAUAUUGUGUUAUAUAAAUUUUAAUUGGGGUGAUUAAGGAAUAAUAUUAUUAUAUAUGUAACUUCCUUAGAAAUAUUAUAUUGUUGAAUAAAGUAACCGAUAAAUUAAUGUAAUUAUUAUGUAUUGCUUAUAAUAUAGUUACCAUAGGGAUAACAGCGUAAUUUACUUAGAGAGUUCUUAUUGAAAAGUAAGAUUGCGACCUCGAUGUUGGAUUAAAGUAACCUUAAGGUGCAGAAGCUUUAUGGGGUAAAUCUGUUCGAUUUU